GCCGGGCGUGGUGGCACAUGCCCGUAGUCCCAGCUACACAGGAGGCUGAGGCAGGAGAAUCACUUGAGCCCAGGAGGUGGAGGUUGCAGUGAGCUGAGAUCACGCCACUGCACUCCAGCCUGGGCAACAGAGUGAGACUCUGUCUCAA
ensembl:misc_RNA Metazoa_SRP Metazoan signal recognition particle RNA